rnacentral:rRNA from 1 species
UUAACACAUGCAAGUCGAACGAAAAGAGGGAAAGAGCUUGCUCUUUCCGGAAUUGAGUGGCAAACGGGUGAGUAACACGUAAACAACCUGCCCGAUACCGGGGUAUAGCCCAUGGAAACGUGGAUUAACACCCCAUAGUACUUUUAUCCUGCCUGGGAUGGGAGUUAAAUGUUCAAGGUAUCGGAUGGGCAUGCGUCCUAUUAGUUAGUUGGCGGGGUAACAGCCCACCAAGACGAUGAUAGGUAGGGGUUCUGAGAGGAAGGUCCCCACAUUGGAACUGAGACACGGUCCAAACUCC